rnacentral:rRNA from 1 species
UACGUAGGGGGCAAGCGUUGUCCGGAAUCAUUGGGCGUAAAGAGCGCGUAGGCGGUCUGUUGCGUCGGCUGUGAAAACCCGGGGCUCAACCCCGGGCCUGCAGCCGAUACGGGCAGACUAGAGUUCGGCAGGGGAGACUGGAAUUCCUGGUGUAGCGGUGAAAUGCGCAGAUAUCAGGAGGAACACCGGUGGCGAAGGCGGGUCUCUGGGCCGAUACUGACGCUGAGGAGCGAAAGCGUGGGGAGCGAACAGG